rnacentral:rRNA from 1 species
GCAAUGCGCGAAAGCGUGACGGGGGUAGUCUGAGUGCCUUCCUAACGGAAGGCUUUUCUUGAGUCCGAAUAACUCGGGGAAUAAGUGGUGGGUAAAACUCGUGCCAGCCGCCGCGGUAAUACGAGUAGCACAAGUGGUAUCCGAGAAUAUUGAGCUUAAAGCGCCCGUAGCCGGCCGCGCCAGUUUCCUGUGAAAUCUACCGGCUCAACCGGUUUUAGGCUUGCAGGGAAUACUACGCGGCUUGGGGGUGGGGGAGGCUAGAGGUACUCUAGGGGGAGCGGUAAAAUGCUUUAAUCCUUAGAGGACCAACAGUGGCGAAGGCGUCUAGCCAAAACACGUCCGACGGUGAGGGACGAAGGCCAGGGGAGCAAUCGGAUUAGAUACCCGAGUAGUCCUGGCAGUAAAUGAUGCAGACUUGGCGUUGCAUUCACUCCGUGUGAAUGCAGUGCCGUAGGGAAACCGUUUAGUCUGCCGCUUGGGGAGUACGGUCGCAAGAUUGAAACUUAAAGGAAUUGGCG